AAAGAUUUAUUGCCCAAGGAGUGGUUUAUGUCCUAUCAGCUUGUUGGUAAGGUAAUGGCUUACCAAGGCAAUGACGGGUAGCUGGUUUGAGAGGAUGGUCAGCCACAUCGGAACUGAGACACUGUCCGGACUCCUACGGGAGGCUGCAGUCGAGAAUAUUUUCCAAUGCCCGAAAGGGUGAGAAUGCGACGCCGCGUGGAGGAUGAAGGCUUUCGGGUUGUAAACUCCUUUUAUAGAAGAAGAACACAAUGACAUUAUUCUAUGAAUAAGUCACGGCUAACUCCGUGCCAGCAGCCGCGGUAAUACGGAGGUGGCAAGCGUUACUCGGAUUUACUGGGUGUAAAGGGUCAGUAGGCGAGCAGGUAAGUAGAAGGUGAAAGCUCUUUGCUUAACAAAGAAAUUGCCUUUUAAACUACUUGUUUAGAGGACAGCAGGGGAAAGUGGAAUUGCUAGUGUAGAGGUGAAAUUCGUGGAUAUUGGCAAGAACACUCAUGGCGAAGGCAACUUUCUGGGCUGUUCCUGACGCUGAGUGACGAAAGCUAGGGUAGCAAAUAGGAUUAGAUACCCUAGUAGUCCUAGCUGUAAACGAUGAGCACUAGGUAUGUUGAUUUAUCAGCGUACCGUAGUUAACGCGUUAAGUGCUCCACCUGGAGACUACGGUCGCAAGGCUAAAACUCAAAGGAAUUGACGGGGACCCGCACAAGCGGUGGAACAUGUGGCUUAAUUCGAUGAUACGCGAGGAACCUUACCAGGGCUUGACAUGUGCCAAGUAGGAUUUCUGAAAAGUUUUCCCACCUGUAUCCAAUCAGGAAGGUACACAGGUGCUGCAUGGUUGUCGUCAGCUCGUGCUGUGAAGUGUUCCGUUAAGUCGGGUAACGAGCGCAACCCUCGCCCUUAGUUGCAACCAUUUCUUUUAGAAAUAGGGCACUCUAAGGGGACUGCUUAUGUUAAAUAAGAGGAAGGUGAGGAUGACGUCAAAUCAGCAUGGUCCUUAUGUCCUGGGCUACACACGUGUUACAAUGGUAUGCACAAAGGGAUGCCAAGUCGUGAGAUGGAGCAAAUCCUUUAAAACAUACCUAAGUUCGGAUUGUAGGCUGCAACUCGCCUACAUGAAGUUG
rnacentral:rRNA from 1 species